rnacentral:rRNA from 1 species
CGCCAGACUCCUACGGGAGGCAGCAGUGGGGGAUAUUGCACAAUGGGGGGAACCCUGAUGCAGCGACGCCGCGUGGGUGAAGAAGCGCCUCGGCGCGUAAAGCCCUAUCAGCAGGAAAGAAAAUGACGGUACCUGACUAAGAAGCCCCGGCUAACUACGUGCCAGCAGCCGCGGUAAUACGUAGGGGGCUAGCGUUAUCCGGAAUUACUGGGCGUAAAGGGUGUGUAGGCGGUGUAGCAAGUUAGAAGUGAAAUACCUAGAGCUUAACUCAGGUGCUGCUUCUAAAACUGCUAUACUUGAGUGCAGUAGAGGAAAGUGGAAUUCCUAGUGUAGCGGUGGAAUGCGUAGAUAUUAGGAGGAACAUCAGUGGCGAAGGCGACUUUCUGGACUGUAACUGACGCUGAGGCACGAAAGUGUGGGGAGCAAACAGGAUUAGAUACCCUAGUAUC